rnacentral:tRNA from 1 species
AGAGAGUUGUCCGAGUAGCUGAAAGAGCACGCUUGGAAAGCGGUUGGUGCGUAAGUGCCACGCAGGUUCGAAUCCCGCACUCUCUG